AUGAGGGCCCCUGUGCUGCUCCUAAGCAUCCUACUGCUCUGGCUCCCAGGUGCCAGGUGUGAUAUACAGAUGACUCAGACUCCAUCCCUGUCUGCGUCUCUGGGAGAGAAAGUCACCAUCACCUGCAAAGCCAGUCAGAGCAUUAACACAUGGUUAGCCUGGUAUCAGCAGAAACCAGGGAAAUCUCCUAGGCUCCUGAUCUAUGGUGCAACCAGCUUAGGACAAGACGUCCCUCCCCGGUUCAGUGGCAGUGGGUCUGGGACAGAUUUUACUCUCCCAUAA